rnacentral:rRNA from 1 species
UACGAAGGGUGCAAACGUUGCUCGGAAUCAUUGGGCGUAAAGCGCACGUAGGCGGCUUCGCAAGUCGGAUGUGAAAUCCCUCGGCUCAACCGAGGACGUGCAUCCGAAACUGCGAGGCUUGAGUACUGAAGAGGAUCGCGGAAUUCCCGGUGUAGAGGUGAAAUUCGUAGAUAUCGGGAGGAACACCAGUGGCGAAGGCGGCGAUCUGGGCAGAUACUGACGCUGAGGUGCGAAAGCGUGGGGAGCAAAC